CCUACGGGAGGCAGCAGUGGGGAAUAUUGCACAAUGGGGGAAACCCUGAUGCAGCGACGCCGCGUGAGUGAAGAAGUAUUUCGGUACGUAAAGCUCUAUCAGCAGGGAAGAAAAGGACGGUACCUGACUAAGAAGCCCCGGCUAACUACGUGCCAGCAGCCGCGGUAAUACGUAGGGGGCAAGCGUUAUCCGGAUUGACUGGGUGUAAAGGGAGCGUAGACGGCAGCGCAAGUCUGGAGUGAAAUCCCAUGGCUUAACCAUGGAACUGCUUUGGAAACUGUGCAGCUAGAGUGCAGGAGAGGUAAGCGGAAUUCCUGGUGUAGCGGUGAAAUGCGUAGAUAUUAGGAGGAACACCAGUGGCGAAGGCGGCUUACUGGACUGUAACUGACGUUGAGGCUCGAAAGCGUGGGGAGCAAACAGGAUUAGAUACCCGUGUAGUC
rnacentral:rRNA from 1 species